AUUCAGCGCUUUUUCACAUGAAAAGACUGGGACUAGGUGAUUUGGGGGCGGGGCGGAGGAAGCAAGUCCGCCCCGCCCCCAAAUCACAUAGUCCCAGUCUUUUCAUGUGAAAAAGCGCUGAAU
rnacentral:miRNA from 1 species